CCACCACGUUUCCUGGCAAUAUAACAGGAUCUGGAGAGCCUGACAAAAUUCCUCGUUUAACUGAUGAAAUCUAAUUUGCUAUGGAGAUCGCAGAAUAUUUUANCUUUUUGUAAAACAAAACCAAAACCAAAACCCAACUAAUAAUGAUAACAGCGUUUUUGGAAAAUUAGGUCAAAUUGGGGUUAACAUAAUUCCAGCCUUAAUUUUUUUAAAAAUGAAAGCAAUGCACUUGGCUCCUUACAUCCCCCCAUCGACUCGAAGCCCCCUCCCCUUCUACACCCCCCCAGUCCCUCGCCUUCCUCACCAGCCGGCUUCUCUUGGGUUGCAUCAGCUUCCUCGCCCUCGACGCUCUACUAUCUAGCCUGACAGCUUCCCCUCCCACCCUCGCUUCCUCUCACUAUACCCUCCCAGGACAGAGGGAAGAGCGCCGAGAGAUUGGAUCGCUAGCGAGAGGUUUCAAAGAGAAUGGGGGCGGGACGCCUGCCGCCUAGGCAGCUGCGUCAUUUGUAGAGAAGGGAGGGAGCCGAGGGAGGAAUUUACACUUGCGUCGACGAGAGGGUAGGAAGAGAGAGAGAGAGAAAAAAAAAGAGCGAGAGCGCACGCGCAGCAGGAAACGAGGGCGGUGCUUCCAUCGCGCCUUCGUGCUCCACCCCGCCCAUCGCUGUCCCCCACUUCUCUUCCGCCGCAAUCCAAUGGCCAAGCGCUCGACAGGAAGAGCUCCGCACUGCGCUUGCGCAGGCAUGAUUACGCCCACGUCUCUCUUCAGAACCGUAGAGGCCGUAGAUGGGCGUAGCAAAACAGGAGGGGGCGUGGCGUCAGCGGCGGCUUCGUCGUGGCCCUGUNUCGUUUACAGGAGCAAAAGGCCCUUUGAAGGCUCUGAAGAGGGCAGUGAACCCAAUGCAAAGAGGCAGCACCUUUCAAAGCACUGCGGCAAACCCUUCCUGGUCGCUUCAGUUCCUCCUUCCUCCAGCACUGGGGUUCCCCCAGUUCGUUCAGUGACCAUCAGCGACCGUUCCGACGGCAGCGACCUAGACGAUUCGCUGCUCGAGUUAUCGGAUGGCGAAAGCGAAGGCUCUCUUUCUGAACUCACCCAGGAGGAUGAGGAUAAACUCUUGUACGGUUCAGACAGCGAUCUGGAGACCUCAGGUUCUAAAGCAUUUAUUGCGAACGUGCAGCUUGCUCGGGUUCAAAGUGUGACCAUAACCGUAGUGGCUCCAAAUGGCCCUCCGGACUGCGCCAGGGAAGAUGAUGCUUUCCAGAAGGACCCUCAGAAUCCAGAAAGUGACGUAAACACCAGCUCUCUAAGCCAAGCUGGACUUGGUUUGAGUUCGGACUGUUCUGCGAUUGCAGAAGGUACACCAGUUGCAAGAUCGCUGUUAGGUCUGCAGAAAGCGGGCGAUGCGCCUGGGAUAAGAGGUGAACCUGCUCAGACAGUGAGCAGCAGCUCUUGGGCCACAAGCCUGCUUGCCACUGGAAACCACGCUGAGGAGCGGAUCCCCNCAAAUAAAACAGAGCUAGUAAGCGAAACUGGAAGCAACCCGCUGUGCAGGACCACGAGAGAACCUGCUUCUUCGGACACCCACCUGAAGUCUCCACCANCCGCCUCCAACUCUGCCAGCGACCAGCGAGAGGCUCAUGUGGGAGAUGCCAGUGGUGCAGAGCGAAAUCGGCCACCAGUGCCUAACUCUAGUUCUGUAAGGCCUAGGACGCGGAUAAACAUCAACGAGAGCGAGCUUGAAAUUGACAAGGAAAAAUACAUCCAAGCUGUACUUGCCCACGCUCGUGGUAGUGAGCAUAUUUUAGAAACUACAAGCAAAGAAAUGACAAGGCAAAAAACAAGCUCACCCUGCAUCAAUGGUUCGAUAAGUGCGGACCUAACUACUGCCGGUUUGAGAACAUCCCCAGUCACUUUAAGCGCAGCCCUGUUCCGAAUUAGAAGUCGCCUUCCCCCGAAACUCUGCUGCAUCUGAUCUGCACUUUAAAACAGUUCGUGGGAAGGAAAUCACGAUGCUACGCAAGUGCUAAGCUGCUUCAAAAGAGAAAACUUUACAAACAGCAGAAAACACUGUCCAGCCGAGGGUUCUUGUGNUAAUGUGAAAGAAUUUGAGGCCAUCCUGGGCUCGCUACGAAUUUGGACNUCUGUCAGUCCCAGCCAGAAUGGCCAGGUAUGUUGGGGCUCCUGAGAGAUGUAGUUCAGAAAGUAGGCUCUACCUGGUUGCUAAAUACCACGUUAAGAAUUCAGAUAUCAUUAGUGCCAAAAGGGAAGAGUCUCGGCCACUGUCACUGAGAUUUCCUUGUGUAUGGAUCUUAUUUUACUUCACUGAGAGAAAUCUUUCCUGUUGCGUAUGGCACGCACACUGUGCCUUAAAUAAGGAUGGAGGGAGGCAUGUGGCUUCUGACUNAGACUUGGAGUGGUCCAUGUGUCUUGCGUUCUGCUGCAUGGUGUUCUGCACUGCAGCAUCCCCUGCCCUUUAUGCUACCAGAGCUGCAUCAGGUUCGGGUAGAGCUAAGAAUUACGUGUGGCUCUUCAGGUUCUGCUCAAAUUCCACACCAGAGCACAACCGUGGAACGUUUGCAGUGGCAUAACACACAUCCCAAGCACAUGCUGUCCNCUGUUGAGGGCCCAACACUGUUUUCCCUUUAAUAGUCUACCUCUUGUGUCAGGAGAGCAAAGUGCUCUAGACAAGAAAUAAAGUUUAGUGUUAUUGCA
ensembl:lncRNA